rnacentral:rRNA from 1 species
AUUGAACGCUGGCGGCAGGCCUAACACAUGCAAGUCGAGCGAGCGGCGGACGGGUGAGUAAUGUAUGGGGACUGCCCGAUAGAGGGGGAUAACUACUGGAAACGGUGGCUAAUACCGCAUACUAUCGGAUAACCCAUAUGGGAUUAGCUAGUAGGUGGGGUAAAGGCUCACCUAGGCGACGCUCUCUAGCUGGUCUGAGAGGAUGAGCAGCCAAACUGGGACUGAGACACGGCCCAGACUCCUACGGAGGCAGAAGUGGGGAAUAUUGCACAAUGGGCGAAAGCCGAAUGCAGCCAUGAGGAGUGUAUGAAGAAGGCCUUAGAGUUGUAAAGUACUUUCAGCGGGGAGGCGUUACCCGCGGAAGAAGCACCGGCUAACUCCGUGCCAGCAGCCGCGGUAAUAC